rnacentral:tRNA from 1 species
UCUUUGGUGGUCCAGUGGCUGGGACUCGGCAUUCUCAAAGCAGAGAGCCUGGGUUUGAUCCCUGGUCAGGGAA